rnacentral:rRNA from 1 species
UACGUAGGGGGCAAGCGUUGUCCGGAUUUACUGGGCGUAAAGAGCGUGUAGGCGGCCAAGCAGGUCCGUUGUGAAAACUGGAGGCUUAACCCUCGAGAUGUCAUCGGAAACCAUCUGGCUAGAGUCCGGAAGAGGAGAGUGGAAUUCCUGGUGUAGCGGUGAAAUGCGCAGACUAUCAGGAGGAACACCUAUGGCGAAGGCAGCUCGCUGGGACGUUACUGACGCUGAGACGCGAAAGCGUGGGGAGCAAACAGG